rnacentral:rRNA from 1 species
GGGCGCCUACGGGACGCAGCAGUGGGGAAUAUUGCGCAAUGGGGGAAACCCUGACGCAGCAACGCCGCGUGCGGGAUGAAGGCUUUCGGGUUGUAAACCGCUUUCAGCAGGGAAGAUAAUGACGGUACCUGCAGAAGAAGCCCCGGCUAACUACGUGCCAGCAGCCGCGGUAAUACGUAGGGGGCAAGCGUUAUCCGGAUUCAUUGGGCGUAAAGCGCGCGCAGGCGGGCCGCUAAGCGGGACCUCUAAUCUUGGGGCUCAAACUCAAGCCGGGUCCCGAACUGGCAGCCUCGAGGGCGGGAGGG